rnacentral:rRNA from 1 species
UACGGGGGGGGCAAGCGUUGUUCGGAAUUACUGGGCGUAAAGGGCUCGUAGGCGGCCAACUAAGUCAGACGUGAAAUCCCUCGGCUUAACCUGGGAACUGCAUUUGUGACUGCAUGGCUAGAGUACGGUAGAGGGGGAUGGAAUUCCGCGUGUAGCAGUGAAAUGCGUAGAUAUGCGGAGGAACACCGAUGGCGAAGGCAAUCCCCUGGACCUGUACUGACGCUCAUG